rnacentral:lncRNA from 1 species
AAGUGGAGCAAGGACUUCUGGGGAUUGAAGUCCUGGAUUCAAGUCUCCAUUUUUACAGUAGUAGGUAGGUGUCAAUCUCUAUGAGUACAAGGAGCUUCCUCCAAGAAAUCCCAUGGAAUGACAGAGAGAGAAGACAAUACCUAGCACAUUGGGUAGAGACCUGGGGAAGAAUUUACAAAAGGACAUGGACAAAGCUCAAAUACAACGAAAAGAUAUGAGUGGGCAGUGAUCUACACCAAUGGAGGAAACUGCUACAUCAAUGAAGAAAUCACAAAUCCAGUGAAGUACUAACAUUUUUUUUAGAAAAUUUUUAAUUCCAAAUUUGACAAAACCACAUGAAAUAAACAUUUCCAUAACCAAAGUAAAAGAAGAUAG